UACGUAGGGUGCGAGCGUUGUCCGGAAUUAUUGGGCGUAAAGAGCUCGUAGGCGGUUUGUCGCGUCGGCCGUGAAAACCUGCAGCUUAACUGUGGGCUUGCGGUCGAUACGGGCAUCACUGGAGUUCGGCAGGGGAGACUGGAAUUCCUGGUGUAGCGGUGAAAUGCGCAGAUAUCAGGAGGAACACCGGUGGCGAAGGCGGGUCUCUGGGCCAUUACUGACGCUGAGGAGCGAAAGCGUGGGGAGCGAACAGG
rnacentral:rRNA from 1 species